rnacentral:lncRNA from 1 species
UUUUUGGAAAUAGUGCGAAGAUGUUCUGGCUACAAGAAGGUGAUUUCAAAUCCCGGAUUUUCUAGGCUCUUGUAUUCCUUGUGUAUAAAUAGCUAAGACUUUUUACACUUUAUAAUUGAAUAAUAUCCUUCUCUUUCUUUAAAACCACGUUUCAAACUAAAUCUGAAACAACUAAUCUUUAGCGCUAGCGAUGGAAAAUCAAGAUAGGGAUUCGAAAGCGGCCGGAAGAACGACGACAGCUGUGAAUAGAGCAGAUUCACCAAUGAAUCUGCAUAGCUCAGAUAAUCCGGGGAUGAGUUUGGUAACAACUCCUCUUGUAGGAGGCAAUUAUCGCUCUUGGAGUCGCGCAAUAAAGAUUGCUCUAGGAGCAAAGUAGAAACUCGAAUUCAUUGACAGAUCAAUCAAAAUGCCAGAAAAAGAGUCAAAUGAUUUCGCUGCAUGGAGAAAAUGUGAUUUUAUGAUCACUUCUUAGAUCAUCAAUUCAAUUUCAAAGGAAAUAGUAGAAGCAUUCAUUUACACAACAUCAUCUAAAAAACUUUGAGGUGAAAUAGCCGAAGAUAUGACGAAAGCAACGACCUGCUUAUUUUCUAGAUACAGAGGGAGAUCAAUUCUUCAAUACAAGGAAAUGAAUAUGUAUCGGUAUACUUCACGAAAUUCAAGAUACUCUAGGAUGAACUUGCAAGUCUUGAGCCUAUACUUGCCUGCGCAUGUGGAGUAUCACGAGAAAUGGCUUAUCGAGGAAAACUGAUGCAAUUCUUUAUUAAUCUAAAUGAAGGUUUUGAACAAGCAAGAAGCCAAAUCCUGAUGCAAGAUCCUUUGCCUUCUAUCAAUAAGGCAUAUUCUGUCAUUUUAAAAGUUGAAGCUCAAAGAAAGGUAUUCAAUAAUAGCAAUGAUAUGAUUGCUAGUGUAGUAUUAUUGGCUCAGACUCAAUAUACAAAGAAAGAUUACAAGAAAGGAGAUAAGAGGAAAGGGCAUUGCACCUUCUACAAUCAAAAUGGUCAUCUAAGGGAGGCUUGUUUCCGGCUUAUAAGAUAUCCAGAAUGGUAAAAAGGAAAAAGUUCACAAGUGGUCCACAAUUUGAAAGGACAGUCUAGUGGAGUCAAGCACGCAACAGCUUGUGGCUAAAAUUCCACUGGAUGAGGAGGAUCUUCGUGCGGAGGACAAAAUCAAAGAGAUAAGUCUCAUGCUUGGCAAUUUACAAUAAGAAGUGCAUAGACUCAUAAAAGGCAAGAUGUCAGUGGCUGCAUCAGUUGUGUCACAACACUCCUUUGCUGGUAAUUUUAAUGCCUUUAAUACAUCUUUUGUUAAAGAACACAUGGAUAGUGUAUAGGUGGUUGACACGGGUGCUAUAGAUCAUAUGAGCUCUAAGAAACAUAUCUUCCAAUCUGUUACUGCAGUUACUAGACCUGUCACAGUCCUAUUACCUAAUGAAAAUUAUAUUCAAGUAACCAAGAAAGGAAAUGUCUCUCUUGCUCCAUCUGUUCUCCUGGCAGACACACUAUACAUACCUGAUAUUACAUACAAUCUGCUAUCAGUCUCUAAACUCUUGUCCACAACCUCUUUAAUUCUGCAUUUCAAUGCAAAACGCUGUCUAUUUUAGGACUAGAGAGCUAACAAGGUGGUGGCACUAGGCAAAGAUCUAAAUGGUCUCUACAUACUGGACAGUAAUGGAUUUCUUC